UAAAAGAAGGCUUGCAGCUACCAGAAAGUCAUUAAGGCAUUAGUUUCUCUGAGAAGACAGAUCUGGAGAAAAAUCAAGAAAAUGAAUGUAGAUAUAUAUAUAUAUAAACAAGGUAAGAAGACAACAUGACAACAGAAAAUGUCAUAGACUUGCUGAAGGUCCCCAGCAGGAAAGAGUAUCAACUCUACAUAGACAAUAAGAACUUGGAUCCCUAAGAGAAUGAAUAGAGCUGAUUUAUAAGAGUCUGAUACGUGCUGCUCAUAUUAGCAUCCAGGCAAGCUGACAGUGGCAGCAUAUAGAAAUGAAGAUGGUGAGGGGAUAUGGCACUUGAAUAUACAGUUGAUGGAACUGUCAUCCCUAAGCAUGUUGUUGUAAACAGAAAAGGCCGAUAUAUAAACCCUCUGGAAGUAAAUGGAAAAACUCCCACUAACUCCUGCCGCACCAGCUGCACGUGCAGGGCGCACCACCCCAUCCGAGACAUCUUCCCACACGAGGGCUCCACAGGAGGACCAGCCAAAUGCUGCAGGGAUACCGAGAGCAGCACCUGGGGGCACUGCAAGCCCUGCACCACACCGUUGAUCACUGGGUGGAACUAGAUUUGGAGCUCUGAAAAGUUCUACGGUGUCCUUUUAGGGUAGCAUCCAAUGAAAAUGGAGUGUUCACAGCUGCAGAAGGAGGUAAAUAGCAGAGGCUUCUGACAUGGUUGAUCUGCUGCUGUCACCAAACAGGAAGAGGUUACAGUGAAACCAUUGAUCAAACAUCAGCCUUAUGUUUUAUGGGAGCUCAAGAAACUAACCAUCGAACUUUUUGGACACAAAUCAAGAAAUGGAGACCAUAUAGAAAUUAUCUAAAAAUGACCAACUGAAGAGACCAGAAAGAAAAGUCUGAGGAAGCUGACAAAAAUGAUUUCAUGACGUUCAGAUGCUCUUCAUUGUGUUCUUCAUACUUACUACACAUGGAACGAGAUUUUUCAUAUUACAGUAAUAUCUCUGAUGCUGUUCCAAAAAUCAACUUGAAACCAUGAGAUUCCAGAACAGGACCCCGCUGCUCCUUAUGGGACAAUUCCUCACCUCUCUCUGAGUGUUGCUCAUGUAGCUCGACUCCAGCCAUCCUUCCCUGCACAACAUGCACUGCCACUUCUGGAGACUGGACACCAGCUCCGACUGGUGGGACCGGAUCAUCCUUGAGUGGUGGGACAACCAGAAGUUACUCCAGAAUUUCCGUAUGUGGAAGGACACCUUUCUGCACCUAUGUGAAUAUCUCGCCCCUGCCCUCCAGUUAUUGGACACCCAUAUGACACCUGCCAUCUCCCUCCAGAAGGGGGUAGCCAUCGUCCUCUGGAAGCUCGCCAUGCUGGACAGCUACCGAUCCAUUGGAAAUCAGUUUGGCAUGGGGAUAUCGAGUAAUUGGGCCAUGCUCUUGCAGGUGGUGAGGGCCAUCAACAGUGUCUUGCAGUGCAGAGUCAUCAACCUGGGUGACGUGGACCCCAUCAUCUCUGGCUUUGCCACCAUGGGCUUUCCCAACUGCAGGGGGAGGCCCUCACUGACCACCGCAGCCAGUUCACAGACUUCUACAUCGUGUGGUCGGGGAAGGCACAAGACACAAGUGAAAUUCCAGUCUCUUUCAAAAGCUGCACACUGGCAUCUUUUUCCCUGACUGCACCAUCAGGGUUGGGGAUGUGGAUAUGCCGAUCUAUAUUGUUGGGGAUGCAGCCUACUCUCUGCUCCCUGGCUAAUGAAUCCCUACACUGGACACCUGGACCAAAGCAAGGGAUGCUUCAAUGCCAGGCUCAGCAGGGCCCGUAUCGUUGAGGGUGUGUGCCUUUGGAAGUCUCAAGGGGAGGUUCCGUUGUCUCCUCACCCUGUUGGAUCUUGGAAUACCCAUGGUAUGGAGGAGUAAGUGACUCUGUGUGCUUCCACUCCCCCUCUCCUCCAGCUGGAAGAACGGCAACAUGAAGAGCCACUUCCCUUGAGGCUUUUCCUCAUCGCUCCCAUAACAGCAGGAGGCGGUGCCUGGGAGGAGCAGGGAGCCACGUACGCCCCAGGAAGCGAGGCAGCAGAUAAGCACCCCAAGCCCACCCCCUCAUUCCCAGACCUCGCAGUGUGUUUCCUGGCCCAGGAAAAUCUUCAAUCCAGCAUAAUCUAUUUCUCAGGAUUGCCAUAUUAAAGAGAUUCAAGUGUAGUGAGCACAUUUCUGAGUGGAGUGGACUAAUCCAUGAGGGCCUAGAAAAUACAACUUUCUCUGCAAUGUGACUGACUAUCUGGAGUUCCUGUUUCAGGAAAAGUUUGCACCAAUCAGCAUUCAGAACUAGGUCAGAAUCCAGGAGGGAAUUAACAUGAUACCGGCUUAGCUCAGACGUGACUUUCCAACAUUGCUGAACGCAAACACACUGAAAACUGCAGCUGUACUCCACCUCAGCAUGGAUUUGCCUCUAACUGACAUAGACUGGAUUUAGAAAAAGAAGACUGUUUCCCAAACACACACACUCAGGCAGUGAUUAACAACUAUUUACAGGUGAGAAAAAGGUUAAUUUGCUUGAGGAAAUCAUGUCUGUGCCAGAGAAGGUCAACUUGCUCCAUCAUCAUGUACUGCCGUCUGAUGCUGGCCUGAACCCUCACAACUUGGCUGAAUGGAAUAAUUAGACAUUUUGAUUUUUUUUAGCAUACUGCCUGCAAAUUUCUGUUUUCUCCAAAGGCAUUUACACCAUUGCCGGAAAGGAAGGACUGUGUGACUCAUUUCAGUUACUUGAAUACUGUCUCACCUAGUUCAACAUCAAUAGCCUCAUCUUGUUCUGAACUACAUUACAUUUCUGAUUAUUGAUUGUUGCAUUCUAAAACUAGGAAUUGAAUCCUAAAUUGUGCCUUCUCCAAUCCUGAGCCUGGGCCAAAACAACCCCUGGUGCAGCACAAAAUAGUUGCUUUCAGUUGCUGUGGCUAGCACAGUCCCUAGGAGCUAUUCUGCUGGCCGAUGAUGCUCCAAACUCACCACUCCUGCUCUUGUCAUGACACACCCAAAAAAGAAGACUGAAUACAUGAAACUCAGAAUGUAUACAUUCUGAAGCGCACCUCUCAGGACCUGCCCCCUUGUGAUUUGAUGGUAUUAGAAAUAGCAAAUGAUCAAGUGAAGAAGUACGAUGGUGUAACGUGGGAGCCCAGUCCUGCUCCCCGUUGUCUCAGGUUCCCCGGUACUCCAUUACAUCAGUAAGAAGAACAGGCAAGAAAACAAAAAAGUAAGCUGUGGAUCUUAAAGGAGGAAGGAGGUGAAAACUAAAACCUGUCUUUCAUCUUUACCUUUUCAAGGAAACAGACUGUAGACAAGAUGAGUGGGAUAGAGCGCCCAUUUUUGUAAACGGACUUAGCAUUUUUUCCUGUUACAUCAGUUGUAUAAUUCAUUGUAAAAUGUGUCCUCAAUGGCUCUGAGGGUAAAUGCAGUUUUAAAAACCGGCAUUUUAUGGAAUAUGUCAAGGGCAGAAUAAAUAAUAUCUUCAAAAAAGGAUAUAAGUUUAGUAACAUACUGACCAGAAAAGGAACAGAUAAACUGUUGUGUUCCAGCUGUUGGCUAACCGAGAGGACUAGCAGAGUAAAUAUAUAAACAUUUAUAUUGGAAGUAAAAACUGUUAACAAAGGUAUUUUAUUUUUAAGCCAAAACACAAACUUGGCUUUCACUGCUGUCCAAGGACCAUUCUAGCCAUCUCAGCUUCUAUCCUGACAGGACAUUUACUCUGUGUUCUUUGGACAGCUUCCAGUGUCCCCCGCAGGAAAGCAAUCUGCCAAUUUGCAUAUCAAAGUAAAGGAAUAAGCCAACCUCAAUAGACUUCUAAGGGGAAGUGAAAGUAUAUGGGAAUUUUAGUUUUAACAACUCUCAAAAAAAAUUAAAACCACCUCCAUGCGUUCCAUGCAAAAAUCAUUUGAAAUGCUUUUACAGCACAUUUAAACAGAAACAAGAAUUUAACACUUCACAUUCUCUUUGAUAUCACAAGUAUAGCAGUGUUUUAAUAAGCAAUCAGAGGGAAGAUAUCUAGAUCAUUUCUGCAUGCACCAUUUUGGAAAUUAUUGCACAAGACAUCCUUUCAUAGUUCUCAAAUAGUACUUCAAUAGCCAAUCAAGCAUUUUGUGUUCUGUGAUGGUGAGAUGACAUGAUAUUUAAUUCAUACUUUUUAGUCUUGAGCAUUUCUUGUAGCUUAAUUCAGGGCAUCUGAUACCAUGUGUAUUGGAGAUCCUUGCUAUGAACAUCUGGGAUAGAAUUAGCAUUGAACUCCACCCUAACUAAAUGCCCAUCAAUGCCCAGUUGCAGGGCAAAACAGAGCAGAUGGGACUUGCUUUGUAGAUUCUAAAAAAAUAAAAUAAUAGAAUAAUAGAAAAGCAGGGCUGGAAAGGACCAGAAGAGGUUAUCUAGACC